UGGUAGAAUUUGAAAGGCAGCCCAGGGA
rnacentral:piRNA from 1 species